UUGAACGCUGGCGGAAUGCUUUACACAUGCAAGUCGAACGGCAGCACGGGGGCAACCCUGGUGGCGAGUGGCGAACGGGUGAGUAAUGUAUCGGAACGUACCCAGUCGUGGGGGAUAACUAUCCGAAAGGAUAGCUAAUACCGCAUACGUCCUGAGGGAGAAAGCGGGGGAUCGCAAGACCUCGCGCGAUUGGAGCGGCCGAUAUCGGAUUAGCUAGUUGGUGAGGUAAAGGCUCACCAAGGCGACGAUCCGUAGCGGGUCUGAGAGGACGACCAGCCACACUGGGACUGAGACACGGCCCAGACUCCUACGGGAGGCAGCAGUGGGGAAUUUUGGACAAUGGGCGAAAGCCUGAUCCAGCCAUGCCGCGUGCAGGAUGAAGGCCUUCGGGUUGUAAACUGCUUUUGUACGGAACGAAAAGACUCCUUCUAAUAAAGGGGGUCCAUGACGGUACCGUAAGAAUAAGCACCGGCUAACUACGU
rnacentral:rRNA from 1 species